rnacentral:rRNA from 1 species
UGGGGAAUUUUGGACAAUGGGCGAAAGCCUGAUCCAGCAAUGCCGCGUGUGUGAAGAAGGCCUUCGGGUUGUAAAGCACUUUUGUCCGGAAAGAAAUCCUUGGCUCUAAUACAGUCGGGGGAUGACGGUACCGGAAGAAUAAGCACCGGCUAACUACGUGCCAGCAGCCGCGGUAAUACGUAGGGUGCAAGCGUUAAUCGGAAUUACUGGGCGUAAAGCGUGCGCAGGCGGUUUGCUAAGACCGAUGUGAAAUCCCCGGGCUCAACCUGGGAACUGCAUUGGUGACUGGCAGGCUAGAGUAUGGCAGAGGGGGGUAGAAUUCCACGUGUAGCAGUGAAAUGCGUAGAGAUGUGGAGGAAUACCGAUGGCGAAGGCAGCCCCCUGGGCCAAUACUGACGCUCAUGCACGAAAGCGUGGGGAGCAAACAGGAUUAGAUACCCUGGUAGUCCACGCCCUAAACGAUGUCAACUAGCUGUUGGGGCCUUCGGGCCUUGGUAGCGCAGCUAACGCGUGAAGUUGACCGCCUGGGGAGUACGGUCGCAAGAUU